CAAAACACACAAAAGCCCAAAUCUUAAAAGGCCCAAAUCUAAAACACGACCCGACCCGACUUAUGUGAAGCAAUAGAUCAACGAUCUCCAUAUCAAGAGCUCUGAUCAACAAUGGCCGCCACAACAUCCUUGGACUCCUUCAGAAGCUUGAUACUGUUCUUAAGCUUCUCCCUCUUGCUCGCCACCGACGGAUACUCCUCCAGCAUCUUCUCAACUACUCCUCCACUACUUGAAUUCACCAAUUCCGCCACGAUCUCCUCAUGUAAUUGAAUGUUCACAAGAUGCCGACAAUGUCACCAUCAAUCAAACUUAGCAGUGGAUGAGUCCUGAAGAGAGACCUUCAGGAGCCAUGUCAGCCUUUGUCACAACAGCCAGAGUCCGUUCACCAGUUUUGUCAACUUGUCUUGACAUGCGAAUGGAUUCGCAUGUGGUGAAGUCGACCGUAGCUGACAGAACAUUGAGGAUUAUUGAUUCUUGAGGCUCGAUGUACUUCAUGAUCAUCCUAGAAAUCUGUUCGUAAAUAUUCUCCGGUUGUCCAUUCACUGGAACUCGAGUUAUACCGGGAAGAUCGACCAUCGUAAGAUCUGGGACAUUGUUCUUCUUAACACUGAGGGUCAGGGGAGUGUCUGAAACUCCUUCACCAGUUCCUGCAGCACAGGUAGACAAAACUGGUUAGUAUCAAACACACAACACUCUAAAGUUCCAUCAUAUAGCAAAAGUAGGGUAAGCAGCAUUAAAAAUAUCAGAUGAGUAAAGACCAGUCUAGGAGAUCCAGAAACAUUAAACACUUUUAGACAACUUGUAUUCAGGUAUAUAUUACACAUCUAACUAAUGACUUCUAUGGUAGGUAAUAACAGUAAGAAGUUUCAUUGUGUUUCAAACUAGUAUAAUUAACUGCAUGAAUAAAACCAUAAAUGUAAUGACCAAACUAGGAUCCAGAAUCGAAUAAAACCUCUAGGCACUUUUAUUGAGAGACUUCUUAAGGUAAAUAAAUAUCUCCUUUCUAAGGUCCAAUGUUUAGGAUUAAAGGUCGCAUUCUAUUUGAUUUAUGUAUCACUUUUGCAGCAAAACACACUUAACACUACACUGAGAAGGAGAGAGAGAAAACUUACCAGCAAUCACAUCUGUUGCAGCACAAAUAGCUUCAGCGACGUGUUCUUCAUCUGUGGGAACAACUUUGUCACUGUAUUCCAGCCAAAUCUCUGGUUCAGGGCUGGAGCUUCGCUGAAGCCUCAUGACUAGAGGAACCCUAGUGCAGAUUCCUUGUCCACGAGGCAAAUUGAUUCCUGCCAACGACUCAAGAACACUCGACUUCCCUGAAGACUGGUCUCCAACCACCACAAUGGUGGGAAGCUGGAUCCCUUCUCUCAUCACAUUCAGGUUUCUCAAUCUGUCGACAGUGUCAAGCAAUGGCCGGAUCCGGUCAUUGUAAGAUGAUACAAUUGGUGCUUCAAUGGGUGUGUUGACUAUAGAAAGAGAAGACAUCCCAGCUUCGACAUCAAUUUCAUAGUCAUUGGACAUCUUACUGCCUCCCAUUUUUGCACGAGUAUAAACAAAAGAGAGUGAGAGAGGAAAUAAAGGAUUAGAUGCAGAGAAGAAAAGUUUUUAGUGAGUGAAGAGACUCAUGUUGGUGGUGACAUUUAUAGAUUGGCUUGUGGUGACCUUUGGUGUUUUAACUUUUACAAAGAAGAAGUUUGAAAGUUUUUUUUUUGGUUAAAUGUAGAAGUUUGAAAGUUCUUCAUUGUUUUAAGAACAAGAGAUAGAUGUAAAUGUUGACAUCUGAGGUUUGUAACUUUUACGGAGUACAAGAGAUAAAUUUAACUGUUAAAUUACUAUUUUCUAUCUUUGAUUUUUUAGCCGUCAAGGACUUUGUAGUUUGAACCACGAUAGAUUGCAAG
rnacentral:lncRNA from 1 species